GGGGACGACAUUGGUUUCGACUGUUGUUGGCUUGGAUUCAGUGGCACGUAGGGGUGAGGGACCUCUUAAAAACCUUCAAAACAAUAACUGCAAAUAACGAAUUUGCUCUAGCAGCUUAAUUUUAAGCUCUACGGUUUCCAUGGCUGUUUCCUUAGGUGGCCAAGAAACCGACACCUCUCUAAGGACCUUUCGGAUCUGUCGCCCGCUUCGGGCCGAAUUGAACUCUAAGUAGGAUAGGAAUGAGUCCCCCGUUUGUAGGGUAAGUCUUUCCGAAAUUCAUUUGCAAACUAAACGUGUAGAAGCUGCAUUUGAGGACGAUAGGACCCGGGUUCGACUCCCGGCGUCUCCAAAA
rfam:Leptospira biflexa serovar Patoc strain &apos;Patoc 1 (Paris)&apos; chromosome I, complete sequence.